rnacentral:rRNA from 1 species
CUAAUACAUGCAAGUCGAGCGCGGGAAAGCAAACUGAAGCCUUCGGGCGGACGUCUGUGGAACGAGCGGCGGAUGGGUGAGUAACACGUGGGCAACCUGCCUGUAAGCUCGGGAUAACUAGCGGAAACGCUAGCUAAUACCGAAUAACGCUGUGCACCGCAUGGCGCGCAGAUGAAAGGCGGCGCAAGCUGCCACUUACAGAUGGGCCCGCGGCGCAUUAGCUAGUUGGUGGGGUAACGGCCUACCAAGGCGACGAUGCGUAGCCGACUUGAGAGGGUGAUCGGCCACACUGGGACUGAGACACGGCCCAGACUCCUACGGGAGGCAGCAGUAGGGAAUAUUCCGCAAUGGGCGAAAGCCUGACGGAGCGACGCCGCGUGAGCGAUGAAGGUCUUCGGAUCGUAAAGCUCUGUUGUUAGGGAAGAACAAGUACCGGAGUAACUGCCGGUACCUUGACGGUACCUAACCAGAAAGCCCCGGCUAACUACGUGCCAGCAGCCGCGGUAAUACGUAGGGGGCGAGCGUUGUCCGGAAUUAUUGGGCGUAAAGGGCGCGUAGGCGGUCUCUUAAGUCUGAUGUGAAAGCCCCCGGCUUAACCGGGGAGGGUCAUUGGAAACUGGGAGACUUGAGUGCAGGAGAGGGAAGCGGAAUUCCAUGUGUAGCGGUGAAAUGCGUAGAGAUAUGGAGGAACACCAGUGGCGAAGGCGG